rnacentral:tRNA from 1 species
GGUGAGAUGUCUGAGUGGUCGAAAGAGCACGCCUGGAAAGUGUGUGUACGGCAACGUACCCAGGGUUCGAAUCCCUGUCUCACCGCCA